AUGGAGGAGGGGAGAGGGAGGAGGGGAGAGAGGGGAAGCAGGAGGAGGUGGGGAGGGAGGAGGGGGGAGGGAGGAGCGGAAAGGGAGACCCGAGCAAAGAGUAAAGCACCUGCCCUGCGGUCAGGCCUGUCCUAGCUUCCAGAGACCCACCUGUAGAGCAAGAUCCCCACCGUUUGGUGUCCCUGGGGCCCCAGGAGUGUCUGACCCAGCAUGGUAUCUGUGUGGCCCUGAAACCCUCACUGCAGGACAGGACUCGGGGCCUGCUGCUGGCAGCUGUCCCGGGGUGGGAGUCCCAUCCCGCAGACACUCCGGGGACUCCGGCCUGCAUCAGAGGAGGGGCAGCCUGGGCCUAGUAAGGUGGCCUCGGCCACGUUGGAAGAUCAGCCUCAGAGGGCGUGAGGCCCCGCUCUGGGGCGACCGGGAGCCACACACACCCCAGCGGGCCCAGUCUUCCUGCACGAAGGCCUCCCCGGUUUGCUCUGGUUUCACGUCCGUGGUCUGUCACGGCUCAGAGGCCAUCCGGACCUGAGCGGCACCCCUGUAAUGUGUGUCUUUCCGGGGCAGGGAUCCCCGGUGCACAGGGUGCAGGGUGCAAACGUGGUUCCGCUAAGGACAUGAGGACAGACCCACCUGGAACAUCCCACAUCUCCCCUCCCUGGACAGCAGUGGCCCCAGGUGGCCCAGCACUGCGGCCCCUGAGUGGGCACCACCCUGCUCCCGUCUCCAGAGGCUUCCAGUCUCCCUGGGGAGGCCACUGACUCCUGGCUCCGUGCUGCCCCUCUGGCUGCCCUGCUUGCCCUCUGCCAGCCGACCUGUGCCCUCAGCCCUCCGGCAGCCGGGCAGUGUGCUGUGUGCCUGCUCCCCUCCUGCACCGUCCGUGCACCUGCUCCUGUCCCUGUCUGUGCUGAGUGCUCCUCUCCGACACUGUGUGUGGUGCUUUCUCAAGGGCCUGGAUCCUCUGGUCAUUGGCGGGGUAGGAGCUGACCAGUGGGUCCCCAGUGCAAGUCUGAGCCUUGUCUUGCGGCCGUGGCCUGGAUGAGACCUCGGUUUCCCCUCCUGUCAGGACCGUACCAGGACUCACACUGGGGCAUGUGAGGCCUGAUCAGAGCGAGGGUCCUGCACACACAGGGCGUAGGGAUGAGACCGCAUGGAGGCCUCACUCUGAAAAGCAUAGCAGGACUCAGUGGUCCAGCUGUGACCCCAGGUUCCUUCCAGCGAAAGCCUCGUGUCCUUAGCAGAAGUCGAAGGCCGGGGUGGGCACAGAUACCUGUCACAGGAACGGGGUGACCUUUCCCAGAAACCGUCAGGGCGACCGUGAGGGUUGGCAAGUGGCAGGGUGCUGGGGAGGCUGAAGCAAUGUAGCCCCACGGCCAAGAUUUGGGGUCCCACCCCGUUCCCGGGUGGGAAGGCAGCAGGGCCUCCCCAGGUGCUACAGAAAUGCUGGCCGGGGCCACUUGGGCAGAGAGAAGAGCUGCCACCCAUCAAGGCUACCCCGUGGGCUGGUGACGGCUGCUGCUUUCCUGAUACUGGGGUUUCUCAUCGAGACUCCCUGGAACGGGUCCCCGCCCCGCCGGCUGCAGGCUCCCCAGAGCCCUGGGGUUAGACAAGUGCCUCUCCCUGGGGCAGGAAGGCCACCUGGGUUUGCCCGGGACUUCAAGGCCAUGAAGUGCACCCCUGCCCGGACCCUGGCACCCCUGCAUCUGAGAGACCCGUCUCCCCACCUCCUUGCCCCCGUGAUCUUGUUUUUGCAGGGCCUCGGAGGAACCGGCAGCUGCUCGCUAAGAAGGGGCCAUCGGUGAGCAGGGGAGAGACGGGCUCGCGGGCAGCUUGACAGCAAGGAAGGACACCGCAGGGAGCAGCAAGAAAGGUACACAAAAGACUAUCGGGAACGUUGGUUAGCUGGAGUUCCGAUUCAUGUGAAGAUACAACAAACACAGAUACUUGUGCACAAUCCCGGGGGUCCUGGGCCGUCCCCCGAGAGCUGCGUUUUGAUCAGUGUCUCCCUGUGAGGACCGACCGCGAGGGAACAGCUUUCCUCAGUCGCAGCUUGCGUUGGAGGGAGGGUGUCUCCAAAGACAUUAGGCGUACGUAUUCAUGAGCCACAAUCGACUCAAACAUUAAAUGGAAACUUCACAAAUUCUGUCCCCGCUGAUGUGUCCCGGACCAGCUUAGGAAUCGGUAGAAGCCCUGCCCUGAAGAGACAGACAGUUGGAGCCAGCAGGGACAGAAGGUGUCUCCAGUGGAGGAAAUACAGCUGCUGGCAAUGUCCCGCCAGCAUCGUGGGGGCUCAGGGUCCACGGAUGUCCAUCUCUGUCUCCCCUGCACCGUGACCAGAUCUCAGAGCAGCCUGGCUCAGGUUCGGUCGAGGAGAGUGUCUUUGCCAGAAAGAAACAUGACAUUUAUGCAACUCCAGGAUCUCGGAACUACCAUAUUUAUAUCACAUAAGGAACCAGCAAACAAGGCUGCCUGGGGCUCAUUUGGCUGCAUAUUGGGUAGCACAAGAGCUGUUUGGGCACAGAAUCCAGGACACCGGGCACCAGCGGGGACAUCAGUCUGCACCCCGGGCCGCUGUGUUGAGGAGGCAAACACUUCCCCCUUUGCCGGAAGGUUGGGCCACCGUCAGACUGGCUGCUGCUGGCUGUCCCCAGUCUGGGCGGCUGCUGUCUCAGGCUCGGCCUGGCUCCCGCCGUCCGACGGCCUCUCCCAGCUCGCUGGGGACCCCUGUGCACCUUCUCCCUGACAGCACCGCGCCCUCUCUGUGCCGUGUCACACCCUCAGCCACCAGCUACGCGUCUGGACAGAAGACACACGAAACCAGCGCCGUGGCAGUUGACGUCCUGUUCCACGUGCACCUGUCUGUCUUCUUCCGUACUCUGGGCUCCUUACCUUUAAGUAGGACCCGGGUGACAACAUCCGCACUUACUUACUGACAGACAGGCCUCCUCCGGCCGGACGGAACGUGCCGGCCUCAGGGGAUGCAUGUCGACGUGCAUCCCGGAGCUGCCCAUGGGGUCUGGCACACAGUAGGCACACAACACAGACUUGCUGGAUGGCCGGAUGGCUCCGCGAUCUCUCAAGAUGGUGGGAAGCGCUGUGACCACUUACUGAGCGUGCUGCUGUGUUCCAGCAUCUCGGCUGUGGCAGAUGACCCUCGAGCAAUGCAGGUUGAACUGCUUGUGUCCACUCACCCGUGGCUUUUUUACAGUACACACUAAAUGCAUUUUCUCUCCCCUGUGACUUCCUUAAAAACGUUUUCUUUUCUCUGGC